GUUUUUCAUAUUUUUAUGACCUUUAAAAUUUUUCUCCAGAGUAGUCUCAUACACCCUUUCUUAGAUGAAUUGCUUGAUGCUUUGUAAUUUUGUUGUGGUUACAAAUGGGGUCUUAUUUUCUGUGGUAUUUUCAGAUGCUGUGGUAGGUAGUCUCUAAGAUGAUGCCAAUAAUUGCCCACUUCCUGGUAUUUAUGCACUUCUAUUAUACCCUCUCCUUGAGAGUGGCCUAGACUUAACUGACUCAAUUCUAGCUAAUAGAAUACAGCAGAAAUGAUGGGAUUUCUCCUCUAAGAUUAAACUGCAAAAAGAACUACAGUUUUCAUCUCUUCCUCCCCUCCCCUAUUCUAGGGGAAGCAAACUUCCAGAUUGUGCGUAGACCAAUAGAGAGGCCCAUGUCGCAAAGAAGUAAUUUUUCUGGCGAACAUCCAGCAAGGACCUGAAGCCUCCAACAGCAACGUUAGCCCAAGUCACCCAGCAAAACCAAGCUUGGAUUCCUGACCCACAGAAAUUACCUCAAGAACUCUUUAGAACAGUACCCGUGAUUUUGGACCUGUUUGUCUUCAUCCUACUCUUGAAGAGUCUGCAUCUAAAGUUUCUCAUAAUAAGUGUGAGUAUAUUUUCCAAAGGUAUUUGGAUUUUUGUCUGUUGCCUCUGUCACUAAGAGAAUUUCCCUAUUGUAUCAAUAGGAUCUCAUCUGCAAACAGCUGAAACACUCAAAUUAGAAUAACUUAAGAAGGACUUAAUAAAAGGGAUUGUUUACAAACACAAAGGUGGGAAACCAAAAGGGAUCCUAUGAUGCUCUAGAGCUUGUAGGACCAGGGUUGUUGACUUCCAGUUAAGAAUUGCCAGCCUGUCUAAGGUGACCACACA
rnacentral:lncRNA from 10 species